rnacentral:tRNA from 1 species
CAAAGAGUAGUUUAAGUAAAAUGCUGGUUUUGGGGACCAGAGAUGGGCGUGCUCUCUUUGA